rnacentral:rRNA from 1 species
AGCGGCGAACGGGUGAGUAACACGCAGGUGAUCUGCCCAUCAGACGGGGACAACGAUUGGAAACGAUCGCUAGUACCGGAUAGGACGAAAGUUUAAAGGUGCUUCUGGCACCGCUGAUGAUGAGCCUGCGGCGCAUUAGCUAGUUGGUAGGGUAAAGGCCUACCAAGGCGACGAUGCGUAGCCGACCUGAGAGGGUGAACGGCCACACUGGGACUGAGACACGGCCCAGACUCCUACGGGAGGCAGCAGUAGGGAAUCUUCGGCAAUGGGCGAAAGCCUGACCGAGCAACGCCGCGUGAAUGAUGAAGGCCUUCGGGUUGUAAAAUUCUGUUAUAAGGGAAGAACGACUUUAGUAGGAAAUGGCUAGAGUGUGACGGUACCUUAUGAGAAAGCCACGGCUAACUACGUGCCAGCAGCCGCGGUAAUACGUAGGUGGCGAGCGUUAUCCGGAAUUAUUGGGCGUAAAGAGCGCGCAGGUGGUUGAUUAAGUCUGAUGUGAAAGCCCACGGCUUAACCGUGGAGUGUCAUUGGAAACUGGUCGACUUGAGUGCAGAAGAGGGAAGUGGAAUUCCAUGUGUAGCGGUGAAAUGCGUAGAGAUAUGGAGGAACACCAGUGGCGAAGGCGGCUUCCUGGUCUGUAACUGACACUGAGGCGCGAAAGCGUGGGAGCAAACAGGAUUAGAUACCCUGGUAGUCCACGCCGUAAACGAUGAGUGCUAAGUGU